GGGUGCGAUCAUACCAGCACUAAUGCACCGGAUCCCAUCAGAACUCCGCAAUUAAGCGUGCAUGGGCGAGAGUAGUACUAGGAUGGGUGACCUCCUGGGAAGUCCUCGUGUUGCACCCC
rfam:Gossypium arboreum cultivar AKA8401 contig_35546_5, whole genome shotgun sequence.